rnacentral:lncRNA from 1 species
GGCGCGGCUGAGACUGAGAGUCACCCGUAGCUGCGUAGGUCGAUCCUGCAUGUAUUUUUUGAGGUAUCCCCACCUUAUCAGAUCUUCGAUCUCGUUCUUCAGCUUGAUGCACCUCUCAAUGUCAUGGUUGUAGUCAUGAUGAAAUCGACAGUAGGGCCUCCAGUUAUGGAAUGUUGUUCUUGUCUUUAUCGGCUAGGAUCAUUGAAGGUAGUCCUCCC